GGAAAAACUCCCUUGACGGUACUUAAUGAAUAAGCCCCGGCUAAUUAUGUGCCAGCAGCCGCGGUAAUACAUAAGGGGCGAGCGUUAUCCGGAAUUAUUGGGCGUAAAGGGUGCGUAGGCGGUUUAAUAAGUCUAUAGUUUAAUUUCAGUGCUUAACGCUGUUGUGCUAUAGAAACUGUUUUACUAGAGUGAGUUAGAGGCAAGCGGAAUUCCAUGUGUAGCGGUAAAAUGCGUAAAUAUAUGGAGGAACACCAGAGGCGUAGGCGGCUUGCUGGGACUUUACUGACGCUGAGGCACGAAAGCGUGGGGAGCAAACAGGAUUAGAUACCCUGGUAGUCCACACCGUAAACGAUGAGUACUAAGUGUCGGGUAAAACCGGUACUGAAGUUAACACAUUAAGUACUCCGCCUGAGUAGUACGUACGCAAGUAUGAAACUUAAAGGAAUUGACGGGACUCCGCACAAGCGGUGGAUCAUGUUGUUUAAUUCGAAGAUACACGAAAAACCUUACCAGGUCUUGACAUUUUCUUGCGAAGUUAUAGAAAUAUAAUGGAGGUUAUCAGGAAAACAGGUGGUGCAUGGUUGUCGUCAGCUCGUGUCGUGAGAUGUUAGGUUAAGUCCUAAAACGAGCGCAACCCUUGUCGUUAAUUGCCAGCAUGUAAUGAUGGGGACUUUAACGAGACUGCCAAUGAAAAAUUGGAGGAAGGUGGGGAUUACGUCAAAU
rnacentral:rRNA from 1 species